CCUGAUGACCAUAGCGAGGUGGUCCCACUCCUUCCCAUCCCGAACAGGACAGUGAAACACCUUUGCGCCAAUGAUAGUGCGGAUUCCCGUGUGAAAGUAGGACAUUGUCAGGC
rnacentral:rRNA from 1 species